GACGAACGCUGGCGGCGUGCUUAACACAUGCAAGUCGAGCGGUAAGGCCCUUUCGGGGGUACACGAGCGGCGAACGGGUGAGUAACACGUGGGUGACCUGCCCUUAGCUCUGGGAUAAGCCUGGGAAACUGGGUCUAAUACCGGAUAUGACUCCAUGACGCAUGUUGUGGGGUGGAAAGCCUUGUGCGGCUAGGGAUGGGCCCGCGGCCUAUCAGCUUGUUGGUGGGGUGAUGGCCUACCAAGGCGACGACGGGUAGCCGGCCUGAGAGGGCGACCGGCCACACUGGGACUGAGACACGGCCCAGACUCCUACGGGAGGCAGCAGUGGGGAAUCUUGCGCAAUGGGCGAAAGCCUGACGCAGCGACGCCGCGUGAGGGAUGACGGUCUUCGGAUUGUAAACCACUGUCGGGAGGGACGAAUACGCCGCAAGGCGGGUGACGGUACCUCCAAAGGAAGCACCGGCUAACUCCGUGCCAGCCGCCGCAGU
rnacentral:rRNA from 1 species